UUCCUGAAGUUGCUAGAAGUUUAUAGAAAAGGAAGUGCAGGCAUAUUUCACAAAUUUACAACCUUUGGCAACACCAUCAUGACAUCACAACCUGUUCCCAAUGAGACCGUGAUAGUGCUCCCAUCAAAUGUCAUCAACUUCUCCCAAGCAGAGAAACCCGAACUCACCAACCAGGGGCAGGGUAGCCUGAAGACACGUCUACAGGCAGAAGUCAAAGUUAUUGGGACUAUCCAGAUCUUGUGUGGUGUGAAGGUAUUGAGCUUGGGAAUCAUUUUGGCAUCUGCUUCCUUCUCUCCAAAUUUUACCCAAGUGAUUUCUAUGCUGUUGAAGUCUGCUUACCCAUUCAUAGCACCCUUGUUGUUUGUCAUCUCUGGCUUUCUAUCAAUUAUCACAGAGAAAAGGUUAACCAAGCUUUUGGUGCAUGGCAGCCUGGCUGGAAGCAUUCUGAGUGCUCUGUUGGCCCUGGUGGGUUUCAUUCUCCUGUCUGUCAACCUGGCUGCAUUAAAUCCCGCCUCACUGCAGUGUGAGUUGGACAAAAGGAAUAUACCAACCAGACUUCUUCUUUCUUAUGAUGAUUAUAAUUCGCCUUACACCACGGACUGCUACAAAGCCAAAGCCAGUCUGGCUGGAACUCUGUCUCUGAUGCUGAUUUGCACUCUGCUGGAAUUCUGCCUAGCUGUGCUCACUGCUGUGCUGCGGUGGAAACAGACUCUGUCUGACUUCCCUGGUUACUCCUGUUCCCAAAGAUGACUCAUGAUGCUGGAUAUGAAGAGCUAUUGACUUCUUGGGAAAAAAAGGGAGAAAUAUUAAUUGGAAAGUUGAUUUUUAUGAUAAUAUGGAAAACCUAACCAUUACGAAAAAGUGAACUUGAGUUUCCUAAAUGUAAGCAUUUAAAGUAAUGAAUAUUUGUUUUAAAAAA